rnacentral:rRNA from 1 species
GACGAACGCUGGCGGCGUGCUUAACACAUGCAAGUCGAACGGAAAGGCCCUGCUUUUGUGGGGUGCUCGAGUGGCGAACGGGUGAGUAACACGUGAGUAACCUGCCCUUGACUUUGGGAUAACUUCAGGAAACUGGGGCUAAUACCGGAUAGGAGCUCCUGCUGCAUGGUGGGGGUUGGAAAGUUUCGGCGGUUGGGGAUGGACUCGCGGCUUAUCAGCUUGUUGGUGGGGUAGUGGCUUACCAAGGCUUUGACGGGUAGCCGGCCUGAGAGGGUGACCGGCAAAAUGGGGCGUGAGAUAGGCCCAGGACUCGACGGGGGGGCAGUGGGGGGAAGUAUGGCAAAGGGGGGGGAGGCUGGAGCAGGCAGCCCCGGGGGGGGGAUGAGGGCUGUGGGUUGAAAAACCGCUUGCGCGUGGAAGGAAGGGGGGGUGAGGGUAAGGGAAAAAGAGGCACGGGCUAACUCCGUG